rnacentral:rRNA from 1 species
GAUGAACGCUGGCGGCGUGCCUAAUACAUGCAAGUAGAACGCUGAAGGAGGAGCUUGCUCUUCUGGAUGAGUUGCGAACGGGUGAGUAACGCGUAGGUAACCUGCCUGGUAGCGGGGGAUAACUAUUGGAAACGAUAGCUAAUACCGCAUGACAACAGUUAUUGCAUGAUAACUGUUUAAAAGGGGCAACUGCUCCACUACCAGAUGGACCUGCGUUGUAUUAGCUAGUUGGUGAGGUAACGGCUCACCAAGGCGACGAUACAUAGCCGACCUGAGAGGGUGAGCGGCCACACUGGGACUGAGACACGGCCCAGACGCCUACGGGAGGCAGCAGUAGGGAAUCUUCGGCAAUGGACGGAAGUCUGACCGAGCAACGCCGCGUGAGUGAAGAAGGUUGUCGGAUCGUAAAGCUCUGUUGUAAGAGAAGAACGAGUGUGAGAGUGGAAAGUUCACACUGUGACGGUAUCUUACCAGAAAGGGACGGCUAACUACGUG